UCCUGAUUUGUGUUCAUAGUACGGCCCCCGGAGGAUUUUAUGACCAUGGUAGGAAUUUGAAGUGGCCCCUCGAAUGAAAAAGGUUCCCCACCCCUGCAUUAAACCUUUCUACUAGCCACAGCUUUGCUGUCAGUACAUUUUAUUAUGAUACUAUAAGCUCAGAAAUUAAGUUGAUCAAACAAUUCGAUCUGUGCUAUAAACAUUUAAAUGAACCUACAGAAUAGGCUAUCAAAAUAGAAUCAUCUGAAUGAUCUUUCUUGGACAUACAUUUUGAAGUGACCCUUCGAAUUAAAAAGGUUCCUCAGCUGCUUUUGAGGAAAAACAUCAAUGUGCUUGGCCACUCUGGUUUUUAAAUGGUAUUCUGAACUAAAGCAAGGAUUGUUCAAGGAAGACCGUCUCUGGUUAAAUUAGUUCUACACCAAGCCUUUAGGUGGCAGUAAAACUAAUUUGCACAAUGCGAAUUCCACACACAAGCCACAAAGAAGCCAUCAGCCGCGGUCAACAUCACCUUCCUGAUUGAACAGAACCACGCGCUGUCUGUGUGGUUUACAAGUUUCUUGGCGAUAUGGGGGAAAAGUUCCUCACAUACCAACGGAAAAUGGGCGUCAUAUACAUGCAGUCACACAGGGGUUCCAAGACCCACCGGCGUAAAAUCAAGUCAAAGGCUGCUGUCUCAUAAUAUGGCGAAGACGAGUCACCUGAAGGCCUAACUCGCCAUAGAAGACUGAAAGAAUGUAAGAUUAACUUCUUUGUGACCAAUAUGACUUGCUCAUUGAUACAUUUGCUAUGUCAAUAUGAGGUGCAUGGCAAAGUAUUUAAUUUAUUUGUCUCGCUUCUAGGAGCUGUAGAAACAACAGGGUGUUCUUUUUCAGGGUAUUCUUUUUUAUAGAACUGGACAGGUCAUUUAUUCGUUACCCUUGUUUUUGAAGUGUCCUGCAGGAUGCUGUGUCCUGCAAUCCUGUGUGCUGUGCUACAGACGCAUGUGGAGGUCAACCCAAAAUGGGCACAGUCUCACCGCAGAAGAGUGAAAGAGGAUCCUGGCAGGGAGACGGUAGUGUCCUGCAGAAUGGAACUAUAGAAACAACAGUGCCUGCUGCAGUAUAAUGAGGACACCCUGAGCAGAGAGCUCCAAUAGACCCAGGUCCAGUGUCUUGGCAGGGUGAAAUGGCACUGAUAUGGUGUCCUGCAGGAUGCUGUGUCCUGCAAUCCUGUGUGCUGUGCUACAGACGCGUGUGGAGGUCAACCCAAAAUGGGCACAGUCUCACCACAGAAGAGUGAAAGAGGCUCCCAGAAGUGAGACUGAGUGCCUGUUGCAGUAUGACGAGGACGCAGUGACCAGAGACCUUCAGUAGACCCUGGCUGAAGAACAUGAAAUCAACUGCAAUGUUUAUAAUGUUGUACAUAC